GCUGUGAUGGCUGGGGAGUGAGGUGUUGGACUCAAAAUCCAAUAAGGUUUUUCUGUGCAGGUUCGAAUCCUGCUCGUGGCA
rnacentral:tRNA from 1 species